rnacentral:misc_RNA from 1 species
UUCACAAUGUAAGUCAUUCUAGCAUUUCCCACAUUCAUAUUGAUGUUAAUGGAUCUAGACAUAUAUCCAUCUAGAUUCAUUACCAUCAAUAUGAAUGUGGGAAAUGCUAGAAUGACUUACAUUGUGAAAC